CUCUUCUCCCACAUCAGACACUGCGGCCAAAGACCAGAGGCGUGCAAUCCAGGAGGACUAGGAGAGCGGGGUAUUUGGUGUCCCGCAUGUGAAUUCUCACCUGCCUUCCAGCAGAAAUGUGACCCCAGGAGGGGCUGUGAUAGGAUGGAAAAAACAGAUUCCUACACACUGAUGGGAAAUGAAAGCAGAGGCAAACGAGAGUUUGAGAAGACUAAAGGUAUAAUCAUCCCCCAGACUCUACUUUGGGCCCUUCCCACUGCUUGGAGCCCUCUCCCUAAAUAUAGGGUGAUCCAAGCUCAAGCUUCAACC
rnacentral:lncRNA from 1 species